UCUCUUACGAGGAAACUAGGAAAUAUGAAGGAUUUGUCUUCUUAGGCAUUGGCAUUUGAGCCAGAUGGCCUUGCUUUAAAAAUAAAUAAAUAACACAUUCUAUACUUUGGAAUGUUCUAAUGUGGAAACCAAUAUCCAAGAAUGGGCUAUGGAAAAACUAUUUUUGCUAUUUUUAGAAGCAACCACCCUCUCUUUCUGAGUAAUAAGCUUAAGGCUCCAACUUCUAAUUCACAGACUAAAGACAAACAAAGUAUAUCAGAUUAAUAUUUUCAAAAUAUUCCAGUUGCACUCAUAAUUUUUCGUGGGAUAACUCUGCCAAAGAGGAUAUUGAGGUCAAUAAGCGCAUGGCUUCCUGUGCUGGAGAGUUUACAGAUAAAAAGGAGCGAGGGCCCUAGGGGUGGUGGUGAAGACAGAGCUGGCUGAUGGGCCACAUUCUCCCAGCUGUAGUAUAACGUCUGAGAACAUGUGCCAGACCCACUCCUCUGCAGACACAGCAACUCUAGCAGGAGGCCGAUGGGGCUGCUGUGAGGACACCCAGGACCAAUGAUGGUCCUAAGGAGAAUCCUGUAUGGCUAUGAUUUGAAGAUAUGAUGGCAGGAGCUGGAGAUUCCCUGAAGAACCAUGAGAUAGAAGCCACAUUUUGAGGAUGGCAGAACAGCAAGAUAGAGGGAACCUGGGCUCUGAUGAUGAUAAAGCAGCCAUAGCAAGCAUGGACCAUGUCCCUGGACAUCUACCUGAGAGAGAAGGCAACUGUUAAUGUAAAUGACUUUGACUUAGGUCUCUUUGUUAAAGAAGCCAACUUUAUAUCCCAGUGAAUAGAGAUGUGAACAUAAAUACUUGUAAAUCAA